GACGGAGGGGGCUAGCGUUGUUCGGAAUUACUGGGCGUAAAGAGUGCGUAGGUGGUUUAGUAAGUUGGACGUGAAAGCCCGGGGCUUAACCUCGGAAUAGCUUUCAAAACUACUAAUCUAGAGUGUAGUAGGGGAUGAUGGAAUUCCUAGUGUAGAGGUGAAAUUCUUAGAUAUUAGGAGGAACACCGGUGGCGAAGGCGGUCAUCUGGGCUACAACUGACACUGAUGCACGAAAGCGUGGGGAGCAAACAGG
rnacentral:rRNA from 1 species